rnacentral:misc_RNA from 1 species
AGACGGAUGACGCGGUUGACCAGCACAUGUGUCUUGCCCGAUCCGGCAUUGGCCGCAACAAAGGCUGACGCUUCCGGAUUGGAGGCACGCGCCUGCGCAUCGCGCACGGCGUCGGGAAUGUCGGGGCGAGGCGAACUCAUUCGAUGUCCUCUUGUCCAUCGCCGAUGGCCGACCAUUCCUUGAUGCGCGCCAGGUCGUCGUAGUUGCCGUAGCGGUUUUCCCACAUCGGCAGCACCACCGAGCGAUAGGGCGUA